CAGCAGGCAUAUAUCAAACCAGAAAGAAUCUUAUUCCCUAGGGCAGGAUUGCUAAACAAAGCCCUGCGGGGGGAGUUACAAGCCAUGCCCUCAGGAUGUAAUACAAGAUGGAGGCUUGAUUUCACAACCAAAACUUUCCAGAGAAUAUAGUGAUAGAUGUUGGAGGUCCCUAGUCUAGCACAACAUCUUCUAAAAGAAAAUGAAACUUUUAAAAGUUAACUACCGACAGGGUAGAGAGAAAAGAAAAGAAACAGUUUAAAAAUACCUGAGGAAGAGCCUCUCAUUCCUAUGCAACUGAUUCGUCCACCAUGGAGAUUAGUUCAAUUAUUGUCCAAUGGAGUAGAACCCCUUGGCUGGGGUAGGGGAAGGAGAAGACCGCAAGCUGGCUCUGCGAAGACCCUUGAGCCACGCGUCCCAGCCCCAGCAUGAAGCAGGACCCAGACCUCUGGUUUAAUUCAGCACAUGAAACAAUUUCUUCUCCUACCUUUUGAAAAGCAGCUGCUAAUAAGUCCCUGAGUUGGCGGGUCUCCAUUGCUUGCGAUGAUAUUAAUGAAACAGCUGCUGAUCUUAUUGAAGUUACCUUGUGCAUAAAUGACAUCAAAAUUAUUUUGUUGCACAUGAGAGCACAUUUCAGGAGCA
rnacentral:lncRNA from 10 species